ACCGUUUUAUAAACGCCACGCGCCAUUUAACUUGCGGAGGGACAAUUUUUAACAAAUUAAGACUUAAAAAAAAUGUGUCCUGUUUUUCAUUUAGAGCCAAACUUGAAGUAUAGUGUAACUUAUGUGUCAUAUGGACUUAAUUUAUUCGCCAUUUUCUCACAUUCGCGGUUAUAAAACGUACAUACUGGGGACGACAUGACGUAAAACAGAAGCGAGUAUUUCCCAGCUCGUCCUUGCAUGCCAUUACUCCAGGAUGUCCAGAUAGACGGGUGGGCUCUUGACAAGGGCCGUAAGGCGGUUGUAGAUGUCUUUGAUGACAAGCCUCUGCUGCGGUUCUCUUUGCCAGCAUCCCUGCAUGAGGAGGUGCACUUCUUUCGGACAGGUGAAGAUCUCCCAAAGCACCACUCCAAAGCUCCAGAUGUCACUCUCGGUGGUGAACUUCCUGUACAUUAUGCUUUCUGGUGGCAUCCAACGAAUAGGCAGCAUUGUCCUUCCACCAACCUGAUGUAGUCAGUGCUGUAAAUGUCUCUCGACAUACCAAAGUCCCCGAUCUUCACCACCAGCCCUUCUCCAACUAAACAGUUUCGGGUGGCCAAGUCUCUGUGUACGAAGUGCAGAGAAGCUAGAUACACCAUGCCUGAAGCAAUCUGAGCAGCGAUUUGAAGCAUCUGAGGAAGGGUCAACUGUCCCAAUGGAGGAACCUUAACUUCAUCCAAGAUUCGCGCAUCUGGACCGUGGGCUCUGUACAAAGUACUGUGGAUUCUCCACAAAACUGGACAAUCCAGAAUCCAGCGUGCUUUCAUCUGAAGAUGGAGGACUCACCCCGAAAUUCAUAAAGCGCAGGGACACAGCCAGAUCAUCCUCAGUGCCCAAAACAGACGAACCUAGAGAUAGAAAACAACAUUGAAUCUGAAAUAUUGGUUCGCAGACAGCACUAUGGAGACAAGAGAAGGGUCACACUUGUUGUGUCAAGCACCAACCAAAACAUGCCUCAACUUUCAUCAAGCACCGUUACUAAUAAUGAUUGCUCAAAGUUUCAAACUCAACUCACAUCUCCGUGACGUUUUCGCUUUCCUGUGGCGCCAGCGCCGGGAUGCUCAUGAUGCCGUCCGUCUCCAGGCACUGCAGCAUGGCAAAGGAACAUCGGCAGGCACCCGGGCAUCCGCUCAGGGCUGGUGGGACCAGAAAGAGAAGCAGUACCACAACCAGGGGUAACCUACGGUGACCCCUCGCUGCCAUCACGAGUUCAAGUGAGUUUGUAUCCAGGGACAUCUCUACUCCACAUCAGACGCGACAGGGAUUGAAGCAGAAACUCUGGGCGUAAGGAGAGGCGGCUCUUCUCUUGGCCAGCACUCAGGGUUAUGAUCCCAUCCAGGAGCUGAGCUAUUGAGCCGUGUUGCGGGGCCCAGGGGAACGGUGGGCUGUUGCCUCCUCUCCUCCUCUCACUGCCUCCCAGUCCGAGAUGGAGAAAAGGAGGGGAGGGGCGAGCAGUCCAUUAGUUGAGUGUGAGAUGGGAGAAAGCAAUGGUCACCAGACACCUUUGUGACACUUGCAGAAGUGAGCUGACUUUGGUAUCUUUGCCAUUGUGAGGUUGUGACAUCGUUGAGCUUUGGUGAAACUCUGUAGACCUGUGUGAGAUUACUUCUUCUCAGGGUCAGAUAGACCACGCAGGACAAGUCGAAUGACCAAAUAGGAUGACAUCAGAGUGAGCAGAUGCACAGACCAGCGGAGGUCAGCGAGGUUCAGGAUAGAGAACUGCUGGGAAAAAGCUGCCUGCUAAGACACAAAUCAUUUUUAAUAAAGGAUGAGCGGAGCAUGGCGACGGCCUGACGAUGAUGGUACUCUUCUCCUCUUAAAUCUUUGCGCUAAUGUCCCGGUGUACUAUACGGUCAGAACUGAGUUGCAUGAAAAAGAACCUGAGUUCAUUGUUUUUCCUUUCUGAUAUGAAUGCAUAAGCUGACAUUGGGAUAAUUAAUGGGACCUGAUGUGUUGUUUGUGGAAACAGGCAGGAAUGUUACAUGGCUCCAUGAGCUAAUAGUGAGACAGCAUGGAUUCUCUCUUGGGAAUAAAACACAGAUGGAGACCUGCAUGGUACACUUGUUCAUGCUAAAAAACAGCCAUUUUGUGUGUCUAGAAAAGAAAAAUUAUGAGUCAUGUGCAGUUUUAAAGAGGAUCUGAAGUUUGAAUGUGGUCUAAAUGGACAUGAAUUGUCUUUGAGAGCUUCUUCUGACAGAUGUGUGAGAUCUCCUGCAUUAGCAGUGCUCGGUUUUUGACAUCACUCAUGACUAACUGUGAGAUCUUCUUUUUAGAGUUUAUACAAAACCACUGAAAGGUACAAAUCUGCACAGAUCAGACUGGAUUUGAAUCAAAAACAAUGACUGAGGCUGUUCUACAUGAAAUGUUGCAGGUGCCUGUGUAAGAGACAGAUAGUAGGACAGCUCGCUAGAUUUUGAAACAGAGAUGUAGUUCAUGGAGAUAUUGGACAUUCCGGUUUUGCUAUAGGUGGAGUAGCUGGGUUUCCAUCCAAACGUUUUCAAAAUUUGCAAAAAAGAAAAUAAAGGAAAUGCAAAUUAUGUGCGUUUCCAUCAAGUAGUUUUACGGUGGUAUUGGUAGUAACCUAGUAACCAACAGUAAAUAAAACAACGCACAAUUUGAAAAUGGAGACAGAAAUGCAUUUAGUUAUGAUUGGGCAAGUUAUAAAUUUACUGUAAAUGCCAAACUGAAUGCUGUGCACAGAAGAAAUGCAGACUUUUUGAUGCAGGCAAAUGCAUUACGACAACGUCAAGCUCAUAUAUGGCAAAGACAACGGCUGCGAAAGCUUAAUCUGCAUUC